UGCAGCAGGCGCGAAAACUUUGCAAUGCGGGAAACCGUGACAAGGGAACUCUGAGUGCCCGUUAAAUCGGGCUGUCCAUCGGUUUAAAUAACCGGUGAAGAAAGGGCCGGGCAAGACCGGUGCCAGCCGCCGCGGUAAUACCGGCGGCUCGAGUGGUGGCCACUAUUACUGGGCUUAAAGCGUUCGUAGCUGGUUUGUUAAGUCUCUGGGGAAAUCUUCCGGCUUAACCGGAAGGCGUCUCAGGGAUACUGGCAGACUAGGGACCGGGAGAGGUGAGAGGUACUCCAGGGGUAGGAGUGAAAUCCUGUAAUCCCUGGGGGACCACCUGUGGCGAAGGCGUCUCACCAGAACGGCUCCGACAGUGAGGGACGAAAGCUGGGGGAGCAAACCGGAUUAGAUACCCGGGUAGUCCCAGCUGUAAACGAUGCGCGUUAGGUGUAUCGGUGACCACGAGUCACCGAGGUGCCGAAGAGAAAUCGUGAAACGUGCCGCCUGGGAAGUACGGUCGCAAGGCUGAAACUUAAAGGAAUUGGCGGGGGAGCAC
rnacentral:rRNA from 1 species